UGUCAUAGUACGUGCACGUACUAUGUUUAUAGGGGCCUGCUUUUAAAGAGUUAAAUCAAACAGCAUUAAACUUAAAGUUUUCGGCACUAGUAAAUGUAAUAUGCAAAGAAUAAAGAUAUCUGACAUUUGUGUCUGGUGAUGUAGAGUUAAACCCAGGUCCUCUAAAUAUCUCAAAUAUGUCGGUAUUGACCACCAGACUAGCUCGAUUAGGAGGAGAGGUCAGUAAACAUUGUCAGUGAUGGUAACUGUUUAUUUCGUAGUGUAGGCCGUCAGCUUUACAGAACAGAAAGUCGUCAUGCCCAAAUAAGAGCUCUUGCAAUCCAACAUUUAAUAAACUGUCCAGAACAUUUCAUAUAGUCUAAUACUGAACAAUCAUGGUCGCAUUAUUUAGAAUAUGUCAAAGCUAGGCUCAUGGGCAGACCAUAUUAUCACACAGGCAGUUGUACAUGCAUCACAGAAAGUGUACAAAAUUUUACUGAAACUAUACAGUUGUAACCUCUAUUUAUGCUCAGCCUCAGGGAAAUAUAAGAGAUUUAUAUAGGACAUCUUGAAGAACUGCAUUAUGUUUCUACAACGCCAAUUGAACAAUCUGCUUAUCAACAAAUAGGAAAUCAGACAGCAACUGGUAAACAAAAACCAAACCGACAAUAUUUGCAAUCUAACAGUAAUAAAAAUAUCUCAGGAAACUCAGUCUUAAUGAAAAAUUUUCAGAAAAGAAAGAAUAUAUGAAGGAAUACAUGAAAAAAGGUCAAAAAACAAUUUUUUUUAAAAAAAAGAAAGCGAGAGAAAAAAGUCAUAUAGUAAGAAAUACAAAAACUCUAAUUUUGAAAAAAUUAAGGAAUCUUGGCAAAAAGCCACUGCAACAUACAGACAUUCAAAUCCUGAAAAAGUCAAAGAAUC